UUGUCCUGCGGCUCUGGGGCUGCCUGAGUGUGCUCAGGAGCAUCAGACAAGUGGAGCUGCCACACCUCAUACUGGAGGUGGGGGGCCUGAUAGUGGGGAACGGCCUGAGGCCGGGGGAGGGUCUGAGGGUGGGGGAGGGCCUGAUGCUGGACUAGGGUCUCAUGCUGGGGGAGGGUCUGAUGCUGGACUAGGGUCUGAUGCUGGACUAGGGCCUGAUGCUG